UGCUACCAGUGAAAAUUGAAGUCGGCCAUCUUUUUUCGGCGAGGCGCGGGAGGGUUUGACAUUUUUGGUGCUCGUAUUUGAGAUAAAAUGUUCAUUCCCCAAAUGGCUGUACAAGGCUUUAAAUAGUGAUAUUUUGAUGAAUUAAUGGUUUGUCUGCCAAAGUCCCACGGAGAUGAGACUGACCUUUGCAAAACAAUGUUGAGGCUGGAUUGGACCAGACCAGUGCUAUAGACUAGGUAAGGCAGGCUGGAUGACCAUCACCAUGGUAACUGGGAUGACCUUAAGGGUGACUGAUCACAUGACUAGAGAUGCUGGUUACUGGUGGACGAUUCAUCAGGCUCAUCUUGAAGACUGCUGAAGGGACUUGGCUGGACUGGAGUGGCCUGUGAUAGACAAAAGCAAAUCCAUGGCAAUGACAGCUCCCUAUCCAUCAUGCAAGAUGUGCAUGCAUCUUCAAUGGCCAAAAUGUCAGGCUCUUAUGAGAAGGUGACUGAUCACAUGACUAGAGACGCUGGUUACUGAUAGACAUUUCUUCAGGCUCAUCUUGAAGACUGCUGAAGGGACUUGGGUGGACUGGAGUGGCCUGUGAUAGACAAAAGCAAAUCCAUGGCAAUGACAGCUCCCUAUCCAUCAUGCUAGAUGUGCAUGCAUCAUCAAAGUCCAAAAUAAAAGACUUUUUUAUAAGUUUGGAGAAAAUGUUAAAAGUGAAUAAAAUAUUAUUUUCCAACUUUGCUAUUUUGAGUUUUGUGAGGUGACACUUUCAUUGCCAUGGAUUUCAACAAAAGUCAACAAAAGUAAAAGUUGACAUUAGUUGCAUUCCCCAUGCUCUUCAACUAACUAAUUUUUUUUUCUCACAAAUGUUCUACUUUUAUGUUGUGUAUCCAACCCCAAAACUCAACUUGGCACAAACAGAUCCACUUUUUUGAUCAGACUAACUCCUGGCAUUAUUAUUAUCGAUUGUGAAGUGGGAACCAGCCCAUACCCUGCAAGAACAAAUUAUUGUCGAGACGCAAGUAAUUCAAACUUCGCAUGUCUUAUACAAAGUGAAUAACUUUUGUUUUGCAAGAAAAAAAAUUGCAAUUUUAGAAUACAAAUCUAUUUUUCA